rnacentral:rRNA from 1 species
AACGAACGCUGGCGGCAGGCUUAACACAUGCAAGUCGAACGCGUGUAGCAAUACACGAGUGGCGCACGGGUGAGUAACGCGUGGAUAUCUGCCUUUUGGUUCGGAAUAACUCCGGGAAACUGGAGCUAAUACCGGAUGGUUCCUACGGGAUAAAGAUUUAUCGCCAAAAGAUGAGUCCGCGUACGAUUAGCUAGUUGGUGAGGUAAUGGCUCACCAAGGCGACGAUCGUUAGCUGGUCUGAGAGGACGAUCAGCCACACUGGGACUGAGACACGGCCCAGACUCCUACGGGAGGCAGCAGUGGGGAAUAUUGGACAAUGGGCGAAAGCCUGAUCCAGCAAUGCCGCGUGAGUGAUGAAGGCCUUAGGGUUGUAAAGCUCUUUUACCCGGGAUGAUAAUGACAGUACCGGGAGAAUAAGCCCCCGGCUAACUCCGUGCCAGCAGCCGCGGUAAU